UGAUUUAUUUUUUCCUGUUUUGUAUAUGUUUCCAUGUCUAGAUAUUUUAGGUACUACGGAUGAAAAUGAACUAUUCGCUAAAUCUGGUGCGACAUGUUUGGUGCUCUGAGACAGCCUAUGCUUUUGUUGUGCAUUGUCCCUGCCAAACAAACGUAAUAAAAUAAAUAUCAGUCUGUUUCCUUUAGCCCACACAUAUCUACAGUAACUAACCCUCUACUGCACACAUUUUGGUUUUGCCCUUAUGUUCUGAUGACGUGUCCAUCCCCAAGGAGCUGGAGAGAACUCCCCACUACGUAAAAACCCCAUGCUGUUCGAUGCUGCACCUCAGCACUCCGCGCAAAAUUGCAGUGGGUUGGUUGGCUGAAUGAGGGGACACAAGUUGUUUAAUGUGUUCGUCACCGAGCGCUUGCCGGGAGCUGCUGUGGAGAAGAUUAUAGCAGCGUAUCAGCAAGACAUCUGCCGUUCAGCAGAGGAGAUCGAGCGCCUACGGAGGCUGUUGGACAUGGUUUUCCAACCAGAGAUUAAGUGACAUGGAGCAGGUUUGUAGCGAGCUACAGUUGUUAUCACGAAGAUAUUUGAUUUGUAGAUUAACGUUACAAGACUUGAGAAUUCAUGUGGCAGUUUGUAAUAUGCGCACUCUGAACGCAACAUUGCUUUCUUGAAUUCAGGGUAGAACGACUGCCCCCUCCCAUGGAAACCACGAAGUUCGAGUCCGUUUCCCUGUGCUUGACAUACGCAGUCUCAGCCAGGAUAGCAUGAAGUAAAAAGACUGCACCGUUUUCCACCUGCAUCUCCAUCCCGAAUCUCCCCAUUGCCCCCCAGCAACAUUAGCCUACAUUUAGGCCAUUGCUUAUGUAUGUCACACUAUGUUGAGGUAAAGAUCGGAGUAUAAUGCUGUAUAGAUGUCAACCCCAAUACAUGUUCAUGACAUCGUCAUCAAUCAACUGCAUUACAGUUAAAAACUACUGACUACCACCACCUAUUUCUAUAUGCUAACUAUGCUACCAGUUUAUACGAAUGGGAGUUAUCAUUUAGCAGUCACUUUUUCCCGAACCUGAAAAGUGACAACUGCUACAUUUUAUGCAGUGAAAACACCCAUAUAUAUCAAAAUCUGAUUUUAGUAACCACAUUGUGGGCCUGUUACAAUACAUCAAUCAUGAUGGAUUUGACAAAUAUCCACUCUGUUAGAUCAGAUUUGUUGAAUGUACGCCAAUCCAGCGUCCUAUCCCCCAUGGUCUGCUACCAUUGACCUCUUUACCACAUCUAUCCCAAUGACAUAUAUACACUGCUCAAAAAAAUAAAGGGAACAUUAAAAUAAAACAUCCUAGAUCUGAAUGAAUGAAAUAUUCUUAUUAAAUACUUUUUUCUGUACAUAGUUGAAUGUGCUGACAACAAAAUCACACAAAAAUGAUCAAUGGAAAUCAAAUGUAUCAACCCAUGGAGGUCUGGGAUUGGAGUCACACUCAAAAUUUAAGUGGAAAACCACACUACAGGCUGAUCCAACUUUGAUGUAAUGUCCUUAAAACAAGUCAAAAUGAGGCUCAGUAGUGUGUGUGACCUCCACGUGCCUGUAUGACCUCCCUACAAUGCCUGGGCAUGCUCCUGAUGAGGUGGCGAAUGGUCUCCUGAGGGAUCUCCUCCCAGACCUGGACUAAAGCAUCCGCCAACUCCUAGACAGUCUGUGGUGGAUGGAGCGAGACAUGAUGUCCCAGAUGUGCUCAAUUGGAUUCAGGUCUGGGGAACGGGCGGGCCAGUCCAUAGCAUCAAUGCCUUCCUCUUGCAGGAACUGCUGACACACUCCAGCCACAUGAGGUCUAGCAUUGUCUUGCAUUAGGAGGAACCCAGGGCCAACCGCACCAGCAUAUGGUCUCACAAGGGGUCUGAGGAUCUCAUCUCGGUACCUAAUGGCAGUCAGGCUACCUCUGGCGAGCACAUGGAGGGCUGUGCGGCCCCCCAAAGAAAUGCCACCCCACACCAUGACU
rnacentral:lncRNA from 1 species